GACGAACGCUGGCGGCGUGCUUAACACAUGCAAGUCGAACGGAAAGGCCCUGCUUUUGUGGGGUGCUCGAGUGGCGAACGGGUGAGUAACACGUGAGUAACCUGCCCUUGACUUUGGGAUAACUUCAGGAAACUGGGGCUAAUACCGGAUAGGAGCUCCUGCUGCAUGGUGGGGGUUGGAAAGUUUCGGCGGUUGGGGAUGGACUCGCGGCUUAUCAGCUUGUUGGUGGGGUAGUGGCUUACCAAGGCUUUGACGGGUAGCCGGCCUGAGAGGGUGACCGGCCACGUUGGGACUGAGAUACGGCACAGACUCCUACGGGAGGCAGCAGUGGGGAAGAGUGUACAAUGGGCGGAAGCCUGAUGCAGCAACGCCGCGUGCGGGAUGACGGCCUUCGGGUAGUAAACCGCUGUCGCCUGUGACGAAGCGUUAGUGACGGUAAUGGGUAAAGAAGCACCGGCUAACUACGUG
rnacentral:rRNA from 1 species